UCCCACUUUGGCACACGACAAGACCCGCCCUAGGAAGCAGCCCGAUUGGUUGAGGUCAGGCAUUUACCUCGAGUAGUUAAGGUUAGGAUAGCC